rnacentral:rRNA from 1 species
UAAGCAUAUCAAUAAGCGGAGGAAAAGAAACCAACAGGGAUUGCCCUAGUAACGGCGAGUGAAGCGGCAACAGCUCAAAUUUGAAAUCUGGCCCUCGGGUCCGAGUUGUAAUUUGUAGAGGAUGCUUUUGGUGAGGUGCCUUCCGAGUUCCCUGGAACGGGACGCCAUAGAGGGUGAGAGCCCCGUCCGGUCGGACACCGAUCCUCUGUAAAGCUCCUUCGACGAGUCGAGUAGUUUGGGAAUGCUGCUCUAAAUGGGAGGUAUAUGUCUUCUAAAGCUAAAUACCGGCCAGAGACCGAUAGCGCACAAGUAGAGUGAUCGAAAGAUGAAAAGCACUUUGAAAAGAGAGUUAAAAAGUACGUGAAAUUGUUGAAAGGGAAGCGCUUAUGACCAGACUUGGGCUUGGUUGAUCAACGGGAGUUCUCUCCCGUGCACUCUUCCUCGUCCAGGCCAGCAUCAGUUCGCUGCGGGGGAUAAAAGCUUCGGGAAUGUGGCUCCCUCGGGAGUGUUAUAGCCCGUUGCAUAAUACCCUGCGGUGGACUGAGGUUCGCGUUCUGCAAGGAUGCUGGCGUAAUGGUCAUCAGUGACCCGUCUUGAAACACGGACCAAGGAGUCGUCUUCGUAUGCGAGUGUUCGGGUGUUAAACCCCUACGCGUAAUGAAAGUGAACGCAGGUGAGAGCUUCGGCGCAUCAUCGACCGAUCCUGAUGUUCUCGGAUGGAUUUGAGUAAGAGCAUACGGGGCCGGACCCGAAAGAAGGUGAACUAUGCCUGUAUAGGGUGAAGCCAGAGGAAACUCUGGUGGAGGCUCGCAGCGGUUCUGACGUGCAAAUCGAUCGUCAAAUAUGGGCAUGGGGGCGAAAGACUAAUCGAACCUUCUAGUAGCUGGUUUCCGCCGAAGU